CAAAGGUAGAGUAAUCAUUUGUCUAUUAAUUGUAGACCAGUAUGAAAGGCAAAAUGAGGGCCUCACUGUCUCUUAUAGUAAAUCAAUUAAACUGAUCUCCUAGUAAAAAAGCUAGAAUACACUCAUAAGACCAGAAGACCCUGUGAAGCUUAAACUAAACUAUUAAACCACAUAAUAACUACUUUUGGUUGGGGCGACCUUGGAAAACAAAAGAACUUCCAAAAUUAUUACCCCAUUGGGGGAAUAUGCCAGGCCAACAAGCCUAUUAAACGACCCAGCACAGCUGACAAUUGAACCAAGUUACUCCAGGGAUAACAGCGCCAUCUUCUUCAAGAGUCCAUAUUAAAAAGAAGGUUUACGACCUCGAUGUUGGAUCAGGACAUCCUAAUGGUGCAGCAGCUAU
rnacentral:rRNA from 1 species